UAUCACUAGCAAACUGAUUAGAAACCCUACCAAAUUCGCGUCCCAUCUGAAGCGCCACACCGAAGUCACCAACUGCAUCUUUGUUAGGUGACAGCGAAUAACCAUUAGCACCACCAGACUGCCACCACUUAGCCACAGAAAUGGACCUUCAAAAUCGCGGUUGUAGCAAUAAAAAUAGUGUUGAGCUAUGUGCCCAAACCGACCGCAAAUUUGACACUGGAUUCGAGAGCGGAACCCACGAUCGCGCCCACCAUGUAAAUGACCACCUCGAGCUGAGUCUACCACCACCGGCGACGGUAUAGAUUCGUAAGGUUAGCCUGAAUUGAAACUUCUUGAAUCAUCCGCGACUGCCGAUUUUCAUACUCUAGAAGCACGUUCACAAGACAUUGAAGAGGCAACGGUUUAGCCAGAAAUGACACCAAAGUAACCACCGUAUCAAAUUCCGGUGAAAGACUUGCCAAAAUAAUUUUGACUUUUUCUGGCUUUGACACCCGUGAGCUCGAGGCAUCCAGCAAAGCAUAAUUAUUUUGAAUUCGUGCUACAUAUUCAGUAAUCGAAAGAUUACAUUUCUUGAGAGAGUGUAACUUGUGACGAACUCGGGAAAGUUUGGCAUCGGUAACUGCCGCGAACAAACGGGUAGCCAUAGUCCAAACAUCACACACUAUUCAGGCAUCAGUGAACGAGGAGAGCGCAACCAGGAAGCGAGGAGACGAUCUUGUUGAGUGUAGACCGACGCUCGUGGAUUCGGAACCAAGGAACCAUCUAUUGAUGGCACAAACCGUGGCGGAGAAGGAAAUGUAUGAACGAUUCAGUCUCCAGUAAACGCUACGCAAGCAGGCUCGACUGAAGCAGACUUAGGCUUAAUUUGGAUGGGCGGUGUGUUUAGCUCCGGUGAGGUUAAAAACAGUGGUGGCGGUGAGAUUAGUUACUGUAGCGGUGAGAUUGGGUACUGUAGCAGUGAGAUUAGAAACAGCGGUAGAGUGUGUGUUUAGAUUCAAACGCAACUGUAGCGGUGAGGUGAAAAUAGAAAAUGACUUUUAAGGAUAUUAGAUUAAAAAUGAUAUAUAAUAGAAGUUUUUUAAAAUUAUUUAAGAAUUACAAAAUUAAUAAAUGAUAAAAAAUUAUUACAAUUA